rnacentral:rRNA from 1 species
UACGAGGGGGGCAAGCGUUGUUCGGAUUUAUUGGGCGUAAAGGGUGCGUAGGCGGUUUGGCAAGUCUUAUGUGAAAUCUUCGGGCUCAACCCGAAGCCUGCAUAAGAAACUGCCGGGCUUGAGUAUUGGAGAGGUGAGUGGAAUUUCCGGUGUAGCGGUGAAAUGCGUAGAUAUCGGAAGGAACACCUGUGGCGAAAGCGGCUCACUGGACAAUAACUGACGCUGAUGCACGAAAGCUAGGGGAGCAAACAGG